GCAUGCAUGGUGUAUGGAUAGUAUUCAGCACCAAGGACAGGUAUGUUGGCCUAUGUGUUUAUAGUAUUCAGCACCAGGGACAGGUAUGUUUGUCU
rnacentral:pre_miRNA from 1 species